rnacentral:rRNA from 1 species
GACGAACGCUGGCGGCGUGCCUAACACAUGCAAGUCGAGCGGGAUCCAUCCAGUAGCAAUACUGGGGAAGAUCUAGCGGCGAACGGGUGAGUAACACGUGAGAAACCUGCCCCGAAGUCUGGGAUAACCCGAGGAAACUCGAGCUAAUACCGGAUGCCCUCCUCUGGUCGCAUGGCCGGUGGAGGAAAGAUUCAUUGCUUCGGGAGGGUCUCGCGGCCUAUCAGCUAGUUGGUGGGGUAACGGCCCACCAAGGCGUCGACGGGUAGCUGGUCUGAGAGGACGAUCAGCCACACUGGGACUGAGACACGGCCCAGACUCCUACGGGAGGCUG